AUAAAGUUUUUUUUAAGCUUAAAAAUUAGAUAAAAAAUUUUUUUAUAUACAAAUUUUAAUUAUAUUUUUAAUAAAUAUUUUUAGUAGUAAAUAAUUUUAGUUAUUAAUGAAAAUUAGAGUUAGGAAUUUUUUUUAGUAUUAACAUAAUUUGUGCCAGCAGUUGCGGUUAUACAAAUAAUACAUUUUAAUUUUUUUUAGUAUUAAUUAAUAUAUUUUUAAAAAUUUUAAUUUUAAUGUUAUUAGGUGAAAUUUUAGUAUUAAAAGAAAAUUUAAUUUAUGAAUUUAAGAAAUUUUUUUUAAAACUAGGAUUAGAUACCCUAUUAUAAUAAAGUAAAUUAUGUUACUAAAUGAUUAAUAGUUAAGUUCUUUAAAAUUAAAAAAAUUGGCGGUAUUUUAGUCUGUUCAGAGGAAUCUGUCCUAUAAUUGAUAAUCCACGUUUUAAUAAAUUUAUUUUAUUAAGUUUGUAUAUCGUCGUAAAAAGAAUAUCUUUAGAAAGAGAAAUAUUCAAUUUUUAUUUUUUAAAUAAAAUCAGAUCAAGGUAUAGCUUAUAAAUAAGGAGAGAUGGAUUACAGUAAAAGUUAUUUGAGGUUUGUAAAUUGAAAAUUUAUAAUAAUUUGGAUUUGGAAGUAAUUUAAUUUAAAUUGAUUAGAUGAUUUUAGCUCUAAAAUAUGUACAUAUCGCCCGUCACUUUCAUUUUAAGAUGAAAUAAGUCGUAACAAAGUAGAGUUACUGGAAAGUGAGUCUAGAAAGAC
rnacentral:ncRNA from 1 species